GACGAACGCUGGCGGCGUGCUUAACACAUGCAAGUCGUACGGUAAGGCCCUUUCGUGGGUAGACGAGUGGCGAACGAGUGAGUAACACACGAGUAACCUACCCACAAUUUUGGGAUAACUCUCUGAAACUGACGCGAACACUUGACAUGUACUCCUGCCGCCUGGAGGGUGUUGGAAAGCUCCGGGGGUUGGGGGUGGACUCGCGCCCUACUAGCUUGUUUGUGGGGUAGAGGCCUACCAAGGCGGGCAUUGGUAGCCGGCCUGGGAGGGUGACCGGCCACAUUGGGGGUGAGAUACACGCCAGACACCUACAGGAGGGGGAGGUGGGGAAUAAUGCACAAUUGGGGCGAGCCCGAAGCAACCACGCCGCGUGCGGGAAGACCGCCUUCGGGUUGUAAACCGCUUUCAGCAGGUACGGAGGUGUUUGUGACGGUAACUGCUAAAGAAGCACCGGCUAACUACGUG
rnacentral:rRNA from 1 species